ACCUGUCAAAGCCAUAAAUUGUUAUUCACAGCCUGCAGAACUGAGGACUGAGAUGGUUGUCGGUGGCCACAAGCACCCAUCACCCUCCUCAACCACCAACCCCUCAUCCUCUCCUGCUACUACACAUGAAUAAUGCAGGAGGCCUCCUCGAUCGUCGCUACCAACAUGCUGCGGCAUGUUUUAUUCACACCAAAGUCAGACAGCCUCAAAGGCAUCAGCAACAGCUCGGUGUGUGCUUGCUCUGACCUGCAGAGGAGAGUGACCCCAGUUCUUAAUGGAAGUCAAAGAGCAACAAACAUGUUUACCUGGACAGCUGUCCUGAAGAUUAGAUGUUCCCCAACUGUUUUGUGCAUCGUCUGACCCCAUCACCUCUGCUCACUACUGUGGGGUAAGAGAGGCUUUGGACACGCUUUGCUGACCCUCCACGCUCAUGUCAACAUGGAUGACUGCACGUUGAUGAACCAGUUACAAAACUUGCUUCUCUACACCUUUCAGAGACUGGAAACCUGAAACGGCCAGAAGAAGCCAGAAGCUUCACGAUGCUGGUGGAUAAGAUCACGCCUUCACUCACCCUUUUUUUAGAGGCACUCACUGAUCUGUGGGCUGAGUUUCCUUCAUGGGGGAAGUUGUUUGUCAAAGACAGAUCCCCUCAGGAGCUCUGCUGGAUUUAAGGGCGUCCUCCACUGUUCAGGGGGCACAUUUCUCAGAACUGCACUCAUUCAUGAUGAGUGAAAGCAUCCAGAGUUAAAAAAGAGCUGCCUCUCAUCUCCAUUCAGCAGCCCUGGCCCCUAAUCUCUGCUGGGACGGCCCACAGUGACAAAGAAAGGCUGACACUCACAUCAAGCACAAGACUUUGUAAUAAAGGUUCUGGGUAACAGACAG